GACGAACGCUGGCGGCGUGCCUAAUACAUGCAAGUUGAGCGCUGAAGGUUGGUACUUGUACCAACUGGAUGAGCAGCGAACGGGUGAGUAACGCGUGGGGAAUCUGCCUUUGAGCGGGGGACAACAUCUGGAAACGAAUGCUAAUACCGCAUAAAAACUUUAAACACAAGUUUUAAGUUUGAAAGAUGCAAUUGCAUCACUCAAAGAUGAUCCCGCGUUGUUUUAGCUAGUUGGUGAGGUAAAGGCUCACCAAGGCGAUGAUACAUAGCCGACCUGAGAGGGUGAUCGGCCACAUUGGGACUGAGACACGGCCCAAACUCCUACGGGAGGCAGCAGUAGGGAAUCUUCGGCAAUGGACGAAAGUCUGACCGAGCAACGCCGCGUGAGUGAAGAAGGUUUUCGGAUCGUAAAACUCUGUUGGUAGAGAAGAACGUUGGUGAGAGUGGAAAGCUCAUCAAGUGACGGUAACUACCCAGAAAGGGACGGCUAACUACGUG
rnacentral:rRNA from 1 species